UCCUACGGGAGGCAGCAGUGGGGAAUUUUGGACAAUGGGCGAAAGCCUGAUCCAGCAAUGCCGCGUGUGUGAAGAAGGCCUUCGGUUGUGAGCACUUUUGUCCGGAAAGAAAUGGCUCUGGUUAAUACCUGGGGUCGAUGACGGUACCGGAAGAAUAAGGACCGGCUAACUACGUGCCAGCAGCCGCGGUA
rnacentral:rRNA from 1 species